CCGUCGAUAGCUCAGUUGGCAGAGCGAUGGACUGUAGAACCAUAAGUCGUUAAUUAGACUCCGGCUCGACGGA
rnacentral:tRNA from 1 species